rnacentral:rRNA from 1 species
UACGUAGGUGGCAAGCGAUACUCGGAAUCACUAGGCGUAAAGCGCAGGUAGGCGGUUUGAUAAGUCUAUUGUGAAAGCUCCCGGCUUAACUGGGAGAGGCCAAUGGAAACUGUCAGGCUAGAGUGUGGUAGAGGAAGAUGGAAUUCCCGGUGUAGCGGUGAAAUGCGUAGAUAUCGGGAGGAAUACCUAUGGCGAAAGCAGUCUUCUGGACCAUCACUGACGCUGAUCUGCGAAAGCUAGGGGAGCAAACAGG